UGCCAGCAUCCGCUGUACUACUUAUUGGGCAAUCGUUGCUCGGAAUCAUUGGGCAUAAAGGGCGUCUAGGCGGAUAGGUCAGUCGGUUGUGAAAUCCCUCGGCUUAACCGAGGAACUGCAGCCGAUACUGCCUGUCUUGAGGAUGAGAGGGGAGAGUGGAACUCCUGGUGGAGCGGUGAAAUGCGUAGAUAUCAGGAGGAACGCCGGCGGCGAAAGCGACUCUCUGGCUCAUUCCUGACGCUGAAGCGCGAAAGCUAGGGGAGCGAACGGGAUUAGAUA
rnacentral:rRNA from 1 species